rnacentral:rRNA from 1 species
CAGUCGCCGCGGGAAUACGUAGGUGGCGAGCGUUGUCCGGAAUUAUUGGGCGUAAAGGGAGCGCAGGCGGACAUAUAAGUCCAUCUUAAAAGUGCGGGGCUCAACCCCGUGAGGGGAUGGAAACUGUAUGCCUUGAGUGCAGGAGAGGAAAGCGGAAUUCCCAGUGUAGCGGUGAAAUGCGUAGAUAUUGGGAGGAACACCAGUGGCGAAGGCGGCUUACUGGACGACAACUGACGUUGAGGCUAGAAGGCGUGGGUAGCAAACUGGAUUAGAUACCCCUGUAGUCCCUGUCUCUUAUACC